rnacentral:piRNA from 1 species
UCCCUGCUGAGUGAACCAUAGUCUCUAA